GGAGAGAUGGCAGAGUGGUCGAUCGCGGCGGUCUUGAAAACCGUUGGGCCGCAAGGUCCCGGGGGUUCGAAUCCCUCUCUCUCCGCCA
rnacentral:tRNA from 1 species